rnacentral:rRNA from 1 species
AUUGAACGCUGGCGGCAGGCCUAACACAUGCAAGUCGAGCGGAUGAAGGGAGCUUGCUCCUGGAUUCAGCGGCGGACGGGUGAGUAAUGCCUAGGAAUCUGCCUGGUAGUGGGGGAUAACGUCCGGAAACGGGCGCUAAUACCGCAUACGUCCUGAGGGAGAAAGUGGGGGAUCUUCGGACCUCACGCUAUCAGAUGAGCCUAGGUCGGAUUAGCUAGUUGGUGGGGUAAAGGCCUACCAAGGCGACGAUCCGUAACUGGUCUGAGAGGAUGAUCAGUCACACUGGGACUGAGAAACGGUCCAGGAUCCUACGGGAGGCAGCCGUUGGGGAUUUUGGGCAUUGGGCGAAGGCCUGAUCAAGCCAUGAAGCGUGGGUGAAGAAGGUUUUAGGAUUUUAAAGCAUUUUAAGUUGGGAGGAAGGGCAGUAAGUUAAUACCUUGCUGUUUGAACGUUACCAACAGAAUAAGCACCGGCUAGCUUCAUG